UAGCGAUCGGAAUCUAAGAUUCGAGUCACUGAGACGAUUCCACGGCCGGUCAUGUGACUCAACAUGGCGUCAUCAUGAGGAAUAAUCCCGCACCUGUAAACAGCCUUGGUCUUCAGUCUUCACGUCUUCAUGUGAGAAGAACAUGUAAUGCUAUAUGUAGAACACUGACUUAAACUGCUUGACCUCUGGCAAGGGUGGUCAAAGGUCAACUCACUUGACAUCUCUGCCCACAUCUUACUGAUGAACACACUCGGACCGCGUCUGAUGAGCGCUUCAACGCACAUCUGUGCAUGGCAAGAGGCAUUUUUAAUUUCACUGGAGGAUAAAAAGCCAGCGGCAGAGCUCCAUCCAUUUUGUAUGGUACCUUAAUUUCACACAGCCCACAGAAAAAUUGGCAGUCGAUUUGUUUUUUGAAGAUCCCUCCAUUGAUAGUAAUGCAUGUGAGACAAACAAUAUCAAGUGCAGGCGUAAAAUGACACAUGGAAGUAAUGCAUUUUUAAUUUCACUGGAGGAUAAAAAGCCAGCGGCAGAGCUCCAUCCAUUUUGUAUGGUACCUUAAUUUCACACAGCC
rnacentral:lncRNA from 1 species